UACGUAGGGUGCAAGCGUUAUCCGGAAUUAUUGGGCGUAAAGAGCUCGUAGGCGGUUUGUCGCGUCUGCCGUGAAAGUCCGGGGCUCAACUCCGAUCUGCGGUGGGUACGGGCAGACUAGAGUGAUGUAGGGGGAGACUGGAAUUCCUGGUGUAGCGGUGAAAUGCGCAGAUAUCAGGAGGAACACCGAUGGCGAAGGCAGGUCUCUGGGCCACUACUGACGCUGAGAAGCGAAAGCGUGGGGAGCGAACAGG
rnacentral:rRNA from 1 species